rnacentral:rRNA from 1 species
UCAGGAUGAACGCUAGCGGCAGGCUUAACACAUGCAAGUCGAGGGGCAUCGGGAGUAGCAAUACUUGCCGGCGACCGGCGCAAGGGUGCGUAACGCGUGAGCAACAGUGCCCGUAUCAGGGGGGAUAAUCCAUGGAAACGUGGUCUAAUACCCCAUAGUAAUUAUGUAAGGCAUCUUAUAUAAUUUAAAGCUUUGGUGGAUACGGAUUGGCUCGCGUGACAUUAGCUGGAUGGUAAGGUAACGGCUUACCAUGGCUACGAUGUCUAGGGGUUCUGAGAGGAAGGUCCCCCACACUGGAACUGAGACACGGUCCAGACUCCUACGGGAGGCAGCAGUGAGGAAUAUUGGACAAUGGAUGGAAAUCUGAUCCAGCCAUGCCGCGUGCCAGGAAGACGGCCCUAUGGGUUGUAAACUGCUUUUGUAUGGGAGCAAUAAGGGCUACGUGUAGUCCGAUGAGAGUACCAUACGAAUAAGCACCGGCUAACUCCGUGCCAGCAGCGGC